GAUGAACGCUAGCGGCAGGCUUAACACAUGCAAGUCGAGGGGCAGCAUGAAGGUUAGCAAUAACCUUUGAUGGCGACCGGCGCAAGGGUGCGUAACGCGUGAGCAACUUGCCCGUUUCAGGGGGAUAACCGGUGGAAACGCCGACUAAUACCCCAUGGCAUCAUCAGGAGGCAUCUCCUUAUGAUUAAAGAAUUUCGGAAACGGAUAGGCUCGCGUGACAUUAGCUAGACGGCGGGGUAACGGCCCACCGUGGCGACGAUGUCUAGGGGUUCUGAGAGGAAGGUCCCCCACACUGGAACUGAGACACGGUCCAGACUCCUACGGGAGGCAGCAGUGAGGAAUAUUGCGCAAUGGGGGAAACCCUGACGCAGCAACGCCGCGUGAAGGAAGAAGGCCCUUCGGGUUGUAAACGUUCUUUUACCUAGGGAC
rnacentral:rRNA from 1 species